ACAGGCCUGAGAGCCUGGGCCCUGAUUCUGCCUAGAGUCCAGGCUGUGGAGCUCCCCGAAGGUGGAGCUACUCUGGAAAGUGGUUAUUUCCAAGUUGACCCAUUUGACUCUGUAAAUCACUUUUGAAUGCAGGAGAGUAAAGGGCAAAAGUUAUUCCUUUCCUGUUCUUGUAAUUGCUGCGAUCAAUAGGCACAAUUGAUUGGAAUUGAGAAAUAGUCUCCAGGUAACAUUUAGGAAGAAUCAUUGAGGUUGGUACACUGAGAGUCAUCGUCUGCUGCACUCUGAGGGGAUAGCCUUUGAGGUUGGAACCAUUUCUGCCUGUCCUGUGGCCUCCAUGCAACCACCUGGAAGGAUCCUGGUUGCUUCUGCUCUGAAAGACGUGUUUUUUUGAACAUGUACUGGAGCCAGGUGCUUUUCAUUCUCUGUCCUUCCUUCUCUUUCUCUCCCUUUGUCUCUCUCCUAUCUUCUCCUGCCUGAUCUCUUUUUUAUCAAGCUUUUGUGGGUGCUGCACCCACUUGCUGCAAGUGAGACUGCCAGAUGCUGGGAGGCUGUCAUGAUGGAGAUGUGGUUUCUUAUCUCUAUGAAGCACAACAACCUAGUUCCUGAAACAGCUGGGCACACAUCAGCCUCUGUGAUGACACUUCAGCCACACACACCUGUGCACAGGACUAACAAGAAAGAUCCAAAGUAUUGGAAUUGGUGGUUGGUAUUGCAAAGGCCUUAGGAAGAAUGGAGCAGCCUGUUCCAAGGAGCAGCAAGGUGGUUUGGAGCCAGCUGUUGCCAUGUCAAAAUACAACCUAGGAUAAGAACCAAGAUAUAUAAUGUAAAGGUACAAAUUCCCAAUAAUGAAUGCCAGCAUAUUGUAUACCUAAAAAUGUACCAAUAAAAUU
rnacentral:lncRNA from 1 species